UUACGUAUUAGAUGAUGGAGAUUUAGAUUGAGACCCUUCUAUUUAAUACAAACUUGUUGUGUUUAUCGGUGAUUAAAGUUUGAAUCUGCAAUUGACUCUUUCUUGUCAACAUAUUUAUCUAUAAUAUUCUUAGCCUGGCACACACCCCCUCCAAGUAUAUUUUUGUUUAUCUCUAUCUACAAUUGACUCUUUCCUGUCAACAUAUUUAUCUAUAAUAUUUUUAGCCUGGCACACACCUCCUUCGAUUAUAUUUUUGUUAAUCUCAAUCUCCAACUUAAGUGGCUUAUUGUGGCCAUGAACCUGGGCAUACAAAUCUGUGAAACUUCCCUUAAAUAGAUAAAGAAACACCCCAACUGAAUGAUAGUCUCUAGCAUGAUUGUGGAUGCUAGUUUUCUCUAUUUUCCUGCUCUUUCCCAUAUCAUCUGAACAUGAAAGUACAACCAUACGUUAUCUUGUGCAAAGUUUUGCUCUUUUAUCAUUCUGGUCUUGGUUGAAGGCAAUAUUUUGUUUUUUGUUUUUGGCAAAGCUCGAUUUUGAGAUUUUUACCUAUCAAGUAGCCAAUGUAGGACUUGGCACCGAUUACUAUCUUUAUAACCUACCCACUGUAUGUGAUUUAUUCAUAUUUCCAGUGUGGGCCUGGAGUGUUACAUACUCCUCUUAUAGCAUCGAUGACUAUCUUUAUAACCUACGCACUCUGUGAUUAUCCGUAUAUCCAAUGUGCUGGAGAGUUACAAAUUCCUCCCCUUUAGACUCCUGGCAUCCUCAUCAAGGCCAUGUCAUGCAGUACUUCAUUAUUAUAUGGCUGGCUGUACUAGGUGGCUCUGAUAUCAUAUGUAACAAUCUAGGGAAAACAAUAGCCACAUCUGCACUGUACGCCAUUAAGACUAGAUAGUUUGAAGUGUCUCCAAUAUCACUUAUAAAGCCCAGUUUCACCUAAUAGGUUACUAAUUUGGGAGUUAACACCCAUAACUAUCUUUAUGUGAUGGCCAUUGCUUGUCACAAAAAUAAAAUGCCGAUUUGACGGUGAUGAGUGGGGAUGGGAUCAUCUAUAGAAGGAUGCAUAUUGUCUUAUAGAGAAGGAGGAUCUGAAAACUGUAGCAUUUGGGUUGCAAUGGAAAUUCGUGGAGCAAUUAACUUAUCAUGUUGUUGGAACUGAAAAAGUGGUUUGUAGCAUGCAAAUGUUGCUUAAACACCUACGCCUUGUACUACAUGAUGGUAAUUAUCAAAUUUCAAAAGUAGAGACACUAAUAAAUAAGGUUUAUGAAAAUCAUAAUGAUUGUAAUGACAUCACUCGCUUCAAUGAGAGUAUGUAUAUUAACAUUAGAUAUCAUGGGGU